rnacentral:lncRNA from 1 species
UCAUUUAAAUCUCAUGCAAAUUAUCAAGUAAAAUUUACUUCGUUUAGACAUAAUCAUGCAAAUCAUAAAUUUAAGCCUUAUAAUUUGGCUCUAGAAAUUUUUCUUGAGAUGUUUAAAAGUAAAUAUUAAAUUUCUUACUAAAACCUUUAAGUUUCCUACACUUUUUCUUCUUUUUCUCCUCGUCUUCUCUCUAGAUCACUCCCUCUCUCUCUAAGCUCACGGAAUG